rnacentral:rRNA from 1 species
GACGAACGCUGGCGGCGUGCCUAAUACAUGCAAGUAGAACGCUGAAGAGAGGAGCUUGCUCUUCUUGGAUGAGUUGCGAACGGGUGAGUAACGCGUAGGUAACCUGCCUUUUAGCGGGGGAUAACUAUUGGAAACGAUAGCUAAUACCGCAUAACAAUGGAUGACACAUGUCAGUUAUUUGAAAGGGGCAAUUGCUCCACUACAAGAUGGACCUGCGUUGUAUUAGCUAGUAGGUUAGGUAAUGGCUCACCUAGGCGACGAUACAUAGCCGACCUGGGAGGGGGAUUCGCCAACACGGGAACUGGACCACGCCCAGAACUCCUAGGGGGGCCGGCGUAGGGGAUUCUCGCCAAUGGGGCCAAACCCGACCGAGCAACCGCCGGUGAGUGGAGGAAGUUUUUCGAUUCGAAAGCUUUGUUGUAUGUCAAAGACGGGUGUUGUAGUGGAAAGUUCACACUGUGACGGUAGCUAACCAGAAAGCCACGGCUAACUACGUG